rnacentral:rRNA from 1 species
CCUACAGGGGGCUGCAGUGGGGAAUAUUGGACAAUGGGGGCAACCCUGAUCCAGCCAUGCCGCGUGUGUGAAGAAGGCCCUCGGGUUGUAAAGCACUUUCAGUGAGGAAGAACGCCUGGUGGUUAAUACCCAUCAGGAAAGACAUCACUCACAGAAGAAGCACCGGCUAACUCCGUGCCAGCAGCCGCGGUAAUACGGAGGGUGCGAGCGUUAAUCGGAAUUACUGGGCGUAAAGCGCGCGUAGGUGGCUUGAUAAGCCGGUUGUGAAAGCCCCGGGCUCAACCUGGGAACGGCAUCCGGAACUGUCAAGCUAGAGUGCAGGAGAGGAAGGUAGAAUUCCCGGUGUAGCGGUGAAAUGCGUAGAGAUCGGGAGGAAUACCAGUGGCGAAGGCGGCCUUCUGGACUGACACUGACACUGAGGUGCGAAAGCGUGGGUAGCAAACAGGAUUAGAUACCCCAGUAGUC